rnacentral:pre_miRNA from 1 species
UACAUACUCCCUCCGUCCCAAAAUUCUUGUCUUAGAUUUAUCUAAAUACGGAUGUAUCUAGUUACGUUUUAGUGUUAGAUACAUCUGUAUCUAGACAAAUGUAAGACAAGAAUUUUGGGACGGAGGGAGUACAUG